rnacentral:antisense_RNA from 1 species
CUUCAGCGAACCCAGCCACAGCGGCGCCCCGUCCGGCCGGCCCUGCCCGUAGGUCGCCAGCAGGGCGUCGGCCUC